CACGUAGGGGCCGAGCGUUGUCCGGAAUUAUUGGGCGUAAAGGGCUCGUAGGCGGUUUGUCGCGUCGGGAGUGAAAACCAGGUGCUUAACACCUGGCUUGCUUUCGAUACGGGCAGACUAGAGGUAUGCAGGGGAGAACGGAAUUCCUGGUGUAGCGGUGAAAUGCGCAGAUAUCAGGAGGAACACCGGUGGCGAAGGCGGUUCUCUGGGCAUGACCUGACGCUGAGGAGCGAAAGUGUGGGGAGCGAACAGG
rnacentral:rRNA from 1 species